rnacentral:rRNA from 1 species
GAUGAACGCUGACAGAAUGCUUAACACAUGCAAGUCUACUUGAACUUCGGUUUGGGUGGCGGACGGGUGAGUAACGCGUAAAGAACUUGCCUCACAGUUAGGGACAACAUUUGGAAACGAAUGCUAAUACCUGAUAUUAUGAUUUUAGGGCAUCCUAAGAUUAUGAAAGCUAUAUGCACUGUGAGAGAGCUUUGCGUCCCAUUAGCUAGUUGGAGAGGUAACGGCUCACAAAGGCGAUGAUGGGUAGCCGGCCUGAGAGGGUGAACGGCCACAAGGGGACUGAGACACGGCCCGUACUCCUACUGGAGGCAGCAGUGGGGAAUAUUGGACAAUGGACCAAAAGUCUGAUCCAGCAAUUCUGUGUGAACGAUGACGUUUUUCGGAAUGUAAAGUGCUUUCAGUUGGUAAGAAAAAAAUGACGGUACCAACAGAAGAAGUGACGGCUAAAUACGUG